UUUCGACCCGUUAGCCUUUCAUGCUUGGUGUGGUGUGUGAGAGAGGAAGCAGGUGGAAUGAGAGUGUGUGGAUCGCGAGCUGUAGAUUGAACCAAAUUUCAACCAGUUAGGGUUUCAAUUGAGGCAUAUGUUGUUUUAUCUAGCUCGAUUAAUCGAUUUCAUUCAGCUUCAGUAAUCAAUCAUCAAUAAUUAGGUCAAAUUGUUCAGGAUAAUUAGGUCAAAUUGUUCAGGAUAAAUUGUUGGUGAUUCUAAAAAAGUAUUGGUUCAGGAUAAAUCAAUAAUCAGCAUGGAGGUCUCUCCAACAAUCGUUUUUGAAGGGAAAUUGAGUAAUCUUAUCGAUUAGGUUUUCGAUUUAUUCUACUAGCAUGUAAUGUGUUAAUCGACGGUAGUUAAUGAUCUUGUAUUUUUGAUCUAUUCUACUGGCAUCUGGAAUUUGUUAUGAUGUAUUUUGAUUUUAGUUAGGCUUUAGGAUCAAGUUCAACAGAAGAGUUUGAGAUAGUGAAUCGAUCGGCUUCGGAAUGGGGCUUUCAGGCCGUCUUGUAACAUCUCGAUCACGCUUAAUGAUGGAAAAACUCGCACGUAGGUGAUUGGGAUUUUACAAAUCAUACAAGGGCAUACUAGGGUUGUGGUUUGAAGACUCAAGACUACAGAGAUUUCGUUUCAUUACAAGCGGCGGUCAGCAGCCGCAACCCAAGUGGUUGCUAGGGUUUUGGUUAUCGUUUCUUGGUACAACAGCAAAACUCGACUGUGACGGCAGUUUAGGGUGAAGAGGAUGGCU
rnacentral:lncRNA from 1 species